rnacentral:tRNA from 1 species
CCGGCCUUCACCGGUUCGGGCAGCGGGCAGACUCAUAAUCUGUUGGUUGCAGGUUCGAGUCCUGCCGGCCGGG